rnacentral:rRNA from 1 species
AAGGGGAAGGCUCACUUAGGAGGCAGCAGUAGAGAAUCUUGUGCAAUGCACGAAAGUAUGACACAGAGAGGACACAUUUAAUUGAGCCCGUCAAAUUAAGUGCCAGCCGACGCGGUUAGACUUAAGGGCUGGUCUUUAUAGGUAAAAAGGCGUAAAGGAUGUGUAGGCCAAGAAAUUAUCCAAGAAGGUAAAUGGAAUUUUUCUGGAGCGGUAGAAUGUGAGGAUAGAAAAUAGAACACCUAAGGUUAAAACUAUUUACCACAAAAUAGGCUGAAACAUGAGAGUGUGGGGAGCAAACAGGAUUAGAGACCCUGGUAGUCCACUCUGUGAACUUUGAAGAUUAUGCUUAGCAGACCCGAAAGGUAAAAUCUUCCGCCUGAGUAGUACGAUCGCAAGAUUAAAAUUCAAAAACUUUGGCUGUUCACUAUUUCGAUUAGAGGAGCGUGUAGUUUAAUUCGAUGGUCCGCGUGUUACCUUACCCCAGCUUGAAUCUAUGACCGGUAUUGCAUGGCCGUCGUAAGUCCGUGUGUUAAACUAGAAGGGACCCAAUCCGGGCAUUUGCCCGAAGGAAGUCAGGUCUUAUGAUCCGAAUGUUGGGGGAUUUUAUGCGCUACAUUUUCUUAUAUAAUGAGAGACUUAAAAGGUAAGCCUCUAAAGUAAGAGUUCGGAAGAUCGCUGUAAAACGAUUGGAAGUUGGAUUUAAUAGUAAUCGGAAAGUAGGGCGUUCCGGUGAAUUGGUACAAGUGUUAGCACAAAUUGCCCGUCACCUUUACCUAGAAUGGUUAUCGGACGCCUUUGGUGGUUUACAAAUGGCUUACCAGGUA